AAAAAAAAAAAAAAAAAAAAAAAAAACAGAGUAAUUGCAAGGUGUCGUUGAUUGAUUUUCUUUGCUUCUUUUAUCAGUCUCAUCUACUGAAACUUAUUCAGAAAGUGU
rnacentral:ribozyme from 12 species